rnacentral:rRNA from 1 species
GGCGGACGGGUGAGUAACGCGUGGGUAACCUGCCCUGUACACACGGAUAACAUACCGAAAGGUAUACUAAUACGAGAUAAAAUGUAAUGAUCGCAUGGUCGAUACAUCAAAGCUCCGGCGGUACAGGAUGGACCCGCGUCUGAUUAGCUAGUUGGUGAGGUAACGGCUCACCAAGGCGACGAUCAGUAGCCGGCCUGAGAGGGUGAACGGCCACAUUGGGACUGAGACACGGCCCAAACUCCUACGGGAGGCAGCAGUGGGGAAUAUUGCACAAUGGGGGAAACCCUGAUGCAGCGACGCCGCGUGAGUGAAGAAGUAUUUCGGUAUGUAAAGCUCUAUCAGCAGGGAAGAAAAUGACGGUACCUGACUAAGAAGCCCCGGCUAACUACGUGCCAGCAGCCGCGGUAAUACGUAGGGGGCAAGCGUUAUCCGGAUUUACUGGGUGUAAAGGGAGCGUAGACGGUUUUGCAAGUCUGAUGUGAAAGCCCGGGGCUCAACUCCGGAAUUGCAUUGGAAACUGUAGAACUAGAGUGCAGGAGAGGUAAGCGGAAUUCCUAGUGUAGCGGUGAAAUGCGUAGAUAUUAGGAGGAACACCAGUGGCGAAGGCGGCUUACUGGAC